rnacentral:rRNA from 1 species
UGAUCCUGGCUCAGGAUGAACGCUAGCUACAGGCUUAACACAUGCAAGUCGAGGGGAAACGGACAUCGAAAGUCUUGCUUUUGAUAGGGCGUCGACCGGCGCACUGGUGAGUAACGCGUAUCCAACCUGCCCACCACUUGGGGAUAACCUUGCGAAAGUAAGACUAAUACCCAAUGAUAUCUCUAGAAGACAUCUGAAAGGGAUUAAAGAUUUAUCGGUGUAUGGAUGGGGGAUGCGUCUGAUUAG